UAUUACAAAUAAUGUAUAUAAAAUGUUUCACUUUGCAUUGAAUUAAUGAAUUUUAUUUUUGCAGUGGAAUGAACAUUUGUUUUCAGUUUUUCCAUCUAAUCACUAAUCAAUCCACAGCCACACACACACUCAAUUCAAACAUGAUUAUGUUCAGACUCGUUUUUAAGUCUUUUCUGUAGUCGUGAGCAGUGACACAGACCAUAAGACUUAAGCGCCUGUGCAGCUCUGCAUCUCUCCGUUGUUUUAUUGCAGCUUACGCGUACGCUCACGGGCAUAAGCUUCUGUCAGCAUCAACACGUACACACAGUGAAAGAUAUCAUUUCAAAAAGGGAGUGGCCGAUGCAUUUCAUUAAUGAAUUAAUGCUUCGUGCGGAGCAAAUGGUUGCUCAUGGGCAGAACACAGCGCUCAAGUGCAGCCUGCUGCGUUUCGGUCACGGACAAACAGAUUUUAUAUCUGAUUUGGUGUGAAUCCACAGCGAUAGCAUCAGAUAUGCGUUACAAUGGAGCAGUUGAAUGAAUGAAUGAAUAAAUGAAUGAAUAUGGAGUAAGUGAAUGGCUGCGUUCUCUCUAUACAACACUCAGUCGAUGAUGGUUGCGGAUAUGGAAAAUAAUGUAAUGGUGAUCAAACCAUUGCAAACCCGAUAAAAAUUUUAAUAUCAAGUGUUUGUUUGCGGGGGGGAAUGCGUUUAAUCAAGAUACAUGUAGCAAUAUUAGCACCACCAUUUCCUUUGUUUCUGUUCUGUACGCUUUCUUUAGUAGAGCUCCCCAGACAGAUGACUGCUCGCGCUCGGCACUUUCUAUUUUUGUCCUCGUGGCGCUGUUUCUGCUCUUACUACCCUUUUUUGAUUGCGGACGGGAAUAAAACAAACCCUCUCCUCUGCUCUGUCCCUCACUUUGAUAUUUAUGUAACCUUGCCAGCUCCUUAAAAUAGUCGUAAAGUCGUGCAUGCUCGUGCGCCACUCGUCCUUGGGAGCUUUAAAGCUCUGAAGAAGAAAAGGAGGAUGGAGAAAAAGAGGAGGAAGAAUAAUAAAAAAGAAGAAGACAAUGUAGGGGGGAGGGCGCGAAUCAGAAUAUUAUGGAUUGAUACAAAUAGUCGCUCGCGCCAACCCUCAGCCAGAGUUGAAUUAAUGUGUUACUAUUUUUGGAACGCCUGUGUUUCCAGGGGAAACCUAAUGACGCAAUGACGUCAAUGCAGGUCAACAGCAGACUGGAGGAAUUGAGCGCUUCCAUUAGAUUUUGCAGUAUUUUCCAGAAACGCGGAAAGGACAAAAUGGAUUAGUUUAAAAUGUACCAAAACACCAGUAUGUGUUUCUCACAUAUCCAUUUGAGAGGAGCACAUUUGCAUUUUAUGGAAUUAUUAUAAAACCAAAAGGAAAAAAAAGAUCUCGUCUUGCUUGAAGCAUCGCUCACACGACAGACAGUCUGAUGCAUGUUCUGUCUUCAUCUGUGGACUCAACACAUGGAGAAAACACCCUGUUUCAGAUGGUCUCUAUGGAGCGGAUUACAAGCACCUGUGUCUGUAUCAUCGCUGUGACGAAAACCCCUUCUUUCCCCAUCUCUUCCACAAACUGUGGGUGUGUGCAGUACAGGGCGUUCACCGCGGCGGGUGGGUUUCAGCACAGUGGACAGCAGCCCGUUCAGCACAAUGGACAGCACCCGUUUAAUUAACACGCCUUCUUCAAUCAACCCGAAUGCACCACAUCGGCGGUUCCAGUACGUUUGUCUAUGCGUUUCUCCAUGCACACCUAUGUAGUGUUUUAUCUCCCAGUGAUGGUCAUUUAAACACAAGACACGA